UGACAUCUGUUCCCUGAGAGGUGACAUGGGAAGUCCUGCACUGUGAGUCCAUUGAGUAGGACACACCCAGGCCUCUUCUUUUCUCCAGGAUAUGUGCAAGAUGAGAGCCAGCCAUCGUCUCCUGAUGGUGGAGAUUUGAUCUGAAGCAUUCAAAUAGGAAUUGAAUGCUCAGAGGAAGCUUCAAAUUUCUUUCUACUUGAAGAAGCUGAAUUGCAGAAGCUAUCUCUGUCCUGUUAAUCACCGGGUCCACAGUGAAACCAGCCAACUUCAGAGAAGACUCUUGUGCUGCGUGACCCCUGACCGUAACCAAGUGUCCUUCUCUCUGAGACGUUCCCUCGGAGCUUGUUCUGACAGCCCUCACCUCCAGUGACGUCCACGAACUUUUCCACACGAGGGGUUCUCUGCUUCCCUCCAUCUGAGCUGCGCAAUUCCACCAGGCCUUU
rnacentral:lncRNA from 1 species